GAAAGUUGCCAGUUUGUCAGUAUAUAACCUAUUGUCUUAUUACCAUCUCUGUGAAAUCCUCCUCAGCAUCAAACUGCAACAUGUUGCAGGAAACACAUAAAUCUUCCACACCCUCUUAAAUGAAAAACAAAAAUAGUUUAACACAAGCAAUGGUAAUUUAAAGACAUUUGCUGCAAGACUUUAGCACAAUUUAUCCUGAAUAAUAGUCUUUUGUCAAAGGACAAGUCAGAUAUGGAUAAUUAAUGGAUACCUUUGCAUUCCAGAAGAGUGGCUGCAAUUUUGACUCUUGCGACUGAGACCUCCUCUGAGUCUGUUUGAUCAACGGAGAUACUUCUACCUUGGAGAAUGAGCUCUGCAAACUACAAAGAGUCAGUGUAGGUGUAAAGUGACACACAUUCACCCCAAUUGACCGUUUGCAGGGAGCUUGAUUGACAGGUGAUCUGACCAAUCAUACUUCGCCAUCCGCCAUUUUGCCCGACAACGCGGUCAGAAGAGAUGGAAGAUUAACAUGGAUUUGAACUUGAGAAACGGAGUGUACUAACGUCUUUCUGCGGUUAAAACAACAUUCCUUCUUACCUUAAUUCAUAUUUAUUUGAUGCUAUUAAUUAACUAGAAGGAAGAGAUGAUCGGUUCACGAGCAGCUUUAAUUGAUGCGCUCUACAACUAUCUGACAGACAAAUUAAAGAGCCACAAAUGGUAUUUAUUGUUUAAAUUUCUUUUUAAAAAUGACCAAAUAUGAAAGGUGAGCCUUUGUUUAAUGUUUAAUAUCAAAAGUAACCGAAAAGUAACCUGGUCUGUCCUGUCUGUCAGUGUGUUGUCAGUCUCCUUCUCACAAUGUAUUUUUCACUGUGCGUUAGAAGAACAUGGUGUGGGCAUGAAAGAGGCGUAGCAUGUCGGGCAUAGUAACAGUAACUAAGGGGGGCAGGUCUUUGCAAACGGUCAAUUACAUACGUAUAUCAAUAAUAUCCAUACCAUCAAAAUUAAGACUCCACAACUAGAGCCGUCCUGCUGCAAAUGGUUUGCAGUUUGGAUCGUCCACGGGCCUUCACUGACAUUUCUUGUCUUCCAAAAAUUUCAUUAGAUUAGAAACAUAUUCAAAUUCAUAAGUCUACAAACACAAUAAGAAAGGCUUGUUUUACAUCACCUCCAAUUUCAAAGAAUUUUUCUCUGGUACAUAUUUUCAUUACCGAGGGGGUCUAUCACAAGGAGGGAUUUUUCAUCCAUUUUGACAAUCUGUAAAAAAUAAAAAAUAAAAAAAAUUGUUAAUUCUAAAACA
ensembl:lncRNA